rnacentral:rRNA from 1 species
AACGAACGCUGGCGGCAGGCUUAACACAUGCAAGUCGAACGCCCCGCAAGGGGAGUGGCAGACGGGUGAGUAACGCGUGGGAACGUACCCUUCGGUUCGGGAUAACCCUGGGAAACUAGGGCUAAUACCGGAUACGUGCGAGAGCAGAAAGGUUUACUGCCGAAGGAUCGGCCCGCGUCUGAUUAGCUAGUUGGUGAGGUAACGGCUCACCAAGGCGACGAUCAGUAGCUGGUCUGAGAGGAUGAUCAGCCACAUUGGGACUGAGACACGGCCCAA